rnacentral:lncRNA from 1 species
CCCCGGCCCCCAGCACGCCCCGAGGGCGCCAGGAUAGGAGUGGAACGGGCUGAUUCAGGGGUUUGCUGUGGAGGCAUCGCGCGUGGGACAACAGCCUGCGACUGGCGAGACCAAGGAAACUCGCUGCCGGGGUCCUGGCUGGACCUAGCGGAAACUUAGGUCUCCGGCAGCCAGGAACCUUGCCACCCUUGGCCCACCCCGGAAUUUGUAGAUGAACUACCCAGGAGCGGUGUAUGAGGCGACAGCGGCGUGCAGACCCGCUUUGGGACAGGUUAUAAACAUCUUCCUUUUCAAGAACGCUCAAGCCAGUCUAAGAUCUGAGGCACCGGUGAGGAGAUAACAACAGCCAAUUAUCCUACCUUGCUGAAAUAUCAAUUUAUACCAUUCAACCAACAUGUAUUUAUCAAGCACCUGUGGUGUCCCAAGUUCAGUGGCAAAACGGAAAAGACAAGUAAGUGGUUGGCUUAAUCUUAUACUGUAAGAAUUCAAAUAUACUUUCAGUUCUUAAAAUUUUUUAUAUCUAAGGAAAACUUUCUGCAGUGAAAAAAAUCCCUGAAAAUGGAGUUUUAUCAUAUAAGUUAUAGUAGGACCACAAGAAGCAUAGAAUAAGAUAUAUGAAACUAAAUAGGUGAAAGAAUUUUCUUUUGCAACUAAAUAGCUUUUUUCUCCCAGAGCCAAUUAUAGUAUAAUUACAAAAAUGAUUUAACAACGUACACAUCUAUGUCACUAGUUAUAUAGGGAAAAUUUAACAGAAUUAAACCUAUGAAAGAAAAUGUGAAAUAUUAGUUCAGGCCAACUUCUGUACAUGUAUAACCACAAGUUAUAAAACCAAAGAAUGUAACAGUGUGUUAUGUUAAAGAGUUUAAUAUAGUACUUUAAAGAUUUCAAAUAGAUUUUUAAAACUUGGAUUUGAAGUCAAGAGCACGGUAAUUUCAGAUAUUAACAAGUUAUAAAAAGUUGGUUUACAUGCAAGAGUUUUCUUAUUUUGAUGAUUUAGGGUAAAAAGAGCUUAGAAAACUGGCAAAGUGCGCACGUAAAACUUUCUAUACGGCCAAGACAACAAACCACUUGAUAGGAGCUGUCUUGCUUUUCUGAGGCAUUCACAAAAGUCCCAAUCAUGAUCACAGGGACACGCUACACUGUUAUGUUUAUACUCACAGAAAUAAAGAUCCCCUACCCUCCACUCCCCCCCACCCUUUGUUUUUAACCUGUUUCUCAUGGUUAUGUAGGAAAAGUUACAUUUUACAAAGUCAAUUAUUAUGAAAAAAUGUAAUGCCUUUUUGAAAUAAGAAAUCAAUUUCUAGGAUUUGACUCCGGUUUAUGUCAAAUAUGAUUUGAGAAGGUUUUGUGCACAACAGUUAAAACUACAGUGAUGUAAGUGCCGUCUUUCCUACAGAGGAGAUGCUUUGGUUUAAAUCUGAAAGAUUAAAAAAAUCCUGGUAUUUUUACGUCAGUUUCUCCGUAUCUCAAAAUACAUAGAAAAAGGUAAAUCUUAAGUCAUUUUAUAUUCCUGAUACACAAACACAGCAAUGUCAUAAAUGUUUCAUUUUCAAACAUGAUUUGGUAAAUGACAAUAAACUUUCACUCUUCAUAGAAAAAUAGGUUAAAAAUGAAAAUUUAGAGAAUCAAAAUUCACUGCCUUUUUUACUAUCUCUAGUGUCUGUAGCUGCAGUCUUCAGACAUUUUUAAAAACAGUAUUUGUCUUUAGAUGGAAAAGAAUCCAUCAAUUUGUAAAUGUGAAAUAUCCAAACUGAAGGUAAAGUCUACCUCACUCCCUUUUGGCUUACCUUAAUUUGCAUAUUACUUCUUAAAGGUAAAUCUCAAAGGUCUAUCAAGACAUUUCUCCUAAAUUUCUCCCAAAAGUAUUUUGCCUGGUCCCACAAGUGUUCAGGAAACUUUAUCUCUAAUGCAGCCGUUAACUCUUUUAAAAAAUAGUUUCUGUUUUGAACUUGGUUAAUAACUACAAAUACAUCUGCAUUUUUAAGCUACAAGUAAAAUGGUAUAUGGUGCCAUCAAAUUACUUGUCAAAAGCUGAAAAAAAAGACUACAUUUUAAAUUGUUUAGUCACGCCAUUCAGUUAGAUAUUUGUAAAACUUGAGGGUUUUGGGGGCAGGGGGUCUAUUUUUCAUGUUGAAGAAAUAAUUUCACAAUUUCAAAUCAAAGUCAACACUGCAGUGAGGAGAGCUUUUCUACUUUAU